GCUGGAGUAGCUCAAUUUGUUAGAGCGUGUGACUGCUAACCACAAGGUUAAAGGUUCAAGUCCUUCCUCUAGCG
rfam:Ipomoea nil DNA, scaffold: scaffold0164, cultivar: Tokyo-kokei standard.